CUCCAAAGCAUAUGAGAUUCUUCCUGAUUUGCAAAAACCAUCAAUAAGGGAAUUGUAAGUUACCACAUCAGGUAUAAUUUUUCUGCAAUGCAUUUCAUUGAAGAGAUUCAUGGCUUCAUCUACCAUUUUAAUCUUACAAAAUCCAUUAAUCAUGAUAUUGUAGUUAUGAACAUCAGGAGCCACUGCCAUCUGAGCCAUACUGUUGAAUAUACCAUUGGCCUUGUUAAUUUCUUUAAGUAAGCAAUAUCCAUCCAUUAACGGUCCGUUUGGUGCGCAUGAUAAGAUAGAAAUGGGAUAGGAUAAGAAGUUGGAUAAGAAUAUGAUAGGAUAAACACUUAUCAUAUCAUGUGUUUGGUGCAUAGAUGAUAAAAAAAAUGAUAUGAUUUUAUUUUAUUAUAAAAGGAUAUCAUUAUUUUAUCUUAUUAUAUGUUUGGUACACUUGGUUUUUUCAAUAAUCAAAAAGAAUUUAAUAAUUUUAUAGAAAAAAAAUAUUCAUAAUUGUUUCAUAAUCAAGAACUGAUGAACAUAAACCAUUAUUUUUCAAUGGAUACAGAAUCACGAUUGCUUCAAUUUGAUCCAUAAAGCAAACAAUUUAUUUCAAUCAACAAAGCACAUAUUUAGGAACUGAAAUACAAAAUUAGGGGAAAUCAGAGAUGAGGGAAGCACAUCGAUGGGAAUUAUUGGGAGAGAAGAAGGUGGAGUCAGUUGCAAAGAAUGAAAACAAAUUUGGAGUGGUUGCAGCGAAAGGAAAAAUAAUUGGGAGAGAAGAGGCUAUUUAUAGAAUAUGGGAGUCGAAAGAGAGUCUCUUGUGAAAUAGAAAAUACGCGCACUAAGUUUGUGCUAUCAGGUUGCUAACCCACCUAAAACUAAGGAUUAAAAUAACAAAGAGCCAACAGGAUAAGAUUAGUGAUAGGUUUAACUUAUUCUUUCCUAUUUGUGCAUCAAACAACGGAUUUAAACAGGAUAUGAUAGUAUUAUCAUAUCAUGUCUUCUUAUCCUGUGCACCAAACGAGCCCUAAAGAGUUAUAAGUAACAACAUUAGGUUUAAG
rnacentral:lncRNA from 1 species